rnacentral:tRNA from 1 species
UCUUCGGUAGCACAGCGGUCAGUGCAGUCUGCCGGAAACAGAAUGAAGCGGGUUCAAUUCCCGUCCGAUGUC